UACGGAGGGGGCGAGCGUUAUUCGGAAUUAUUGGGCGUAAAGGGCGCGUAGGCGGCCCGGUAAGUCAAAGGUGAAAUCCCUCGGCUCAACUGAGGAACUGCCUUUGAAACUGUCGGGCUUGAGGCCGGGAGGGGGUAGCGGAAUUCCCAGUGUAGCGGUGAAAUGCGUAGAUACUGGGAGGAACACCAGUGGCGAAGGCGGCUACCUGGACCUGUUCUGACGCUGAUGCGCGAAAGCGUGGGUAGCAAACAGG
rnacentral:rRNA from 1 species